UACAGGGGGUGCAAACGUUGCUCGGAAUCAUUGGGCGUAAAGCGCACGUAGGCGGUUCGUUAUGUCGGAUGUGAAAGCCCUUGGCUUAACCGAGGAAGUGCAUCCGAAACUGGCGAGCUAGAGUACGAAAGAGGAUCGCGGAAUUCCCGGUGUAGAGGUGAAAUUCGCAGAUAUCGGGAGGAACACCGGUGGCGAAGGCGGCGAUCUGGGUCGAUACUGACGCUGAGGUGCGAAAGCGUGGGGAGCAAACAGG
rnacentral:rRNA from 1 species